GGUAAUCUUGUGAAACUUCMUCSUGCUGGGGAUAGAGCAUUGCAACUAUUGCUCUUGAACGAGGAAUCCCUAGUAAGUACAAGUCACUAGCUUGUGCUGAUUACCUCCCUGCCCUUUGUACACACCGCCCGUCGCUACUACCGAUUGAAUGGCUUAGUGAGGCCUUCGGAUUGAAAUUCGGAGACUGGCAACAGACUCUUGGUUUUGAAAAGUUGGACAAACUUGGUCAUUUAGAGGAAGUAAAAGUCGUAACAAGGUUUCCGUAGGUGAACCUGCGGAAGGAUCAUU
rnacentral:rRNA from 1 species